ensembl:lncRNA
GUGAAACCAUUCAUAAUGUGGUUAGACUUGGUCAGAAGAUUAGGUGUAUAUUUAUAUACCUAAUCUUUUGACCAAGUCUAACCACAUUACGUGCUUUAAACUGCUAUUGUAAAACAAACUUUUUGCAAAACUCUAAAAACACAGCUAUCUACAUUAUACACAUCAUUCAAAAGUAGCAGCUCUUUUGUUCCAUUUGGAAAAACACUGCCAUUUAAAUGCCACACUCAUUUAAUGAUGACCUUCAGCCAGUGAUCAUGUGUAAAAACAGACAUAAUUUGUUCACUAAGAAAUCAAAACGAAAGAUUUUUACCCCCUUGCAUUUCUGUUUACAUUGUAUAUAUAUAUGUAUGUAUAUCUAUAUAUAUAUAUGUAUAUCUAUAUACUGUGUGUGUGUGUGCGCGCGCGCGGUUUGCCAUCAUUCUUCUCUUCUUUCUUUAUUAGUUCAGUCUCUACAGCACGUCUGCAUGAUCUUGAGCAGUUUAAGCUCCUUCACAGCUCUGUUAUGGCGAAUGUUCAAACCAGGAUUCUUCAUCUGGAUCUCUCUAUCAUCAUUAUUUUCCUGAUUCAUGCAGAUUAUUCAAAAUCUAAUCAAGAGCAAAGGAUUCAGCAGCACAUCAACAAAACAGUGUUUGUGGGGGAAACAGUUACACUUCACUGCAACAAAACCCAACUUGAUGAUGAUUUCACAUGGAAAAUGAACAACUCUGUUAUUUUUAGGCAGGUCUCUUAUUUUAACAUAACUAAGACAAACUUCAGCUCAAACAGGAUUCACAUCGACCCCGCAGCUCCAAGAGAAUUAACAAUACAUCAAAUACAAGCGUCUGAUGCAGGAAACUACAGCUGUUACCCAGCAGCAAUAAGAUGGACAUUAACAAUAACAGAAAACACAACCAGACCAGAAUCACUCAAACAAAUGCCGCUGUACAUCAUCUACUCAUGUUCUGGAGUCAUUAUGAUCUGUCUGAUCAUAACCAUAUGCAUUCACAGUAAACUGAAGCAGAUGAAGACAAACUCUGAUCUCUGUGAAACAGACCAGGAGGCAGAAAGUUUAUUUACCACAGAACAGGUGAAGAUGAUCUCUGACUGUGACAAACACACAGUAACAGCCUGUGUUUACAGGCUUCAUACAGUUUCAUAAACGUCUUUUCUUCUCAAGACAGUGGUGUGUGUGUGUGUCUGACACUCAUCAGAUCAUGAACAGGAAGAUGUCUGUCAGUCUUUUUUGUGGAUUAGAGAAUGAAACUGUCCCAAGAGUAUGUCGCAGAGGAUCUUUAUAUACACAUUUUCAGAAAGAGUAAUACUUUUUACACUUUGAAAAUUUAAUAUUUAAAAAUUUAACAUGCCUAACUAGAUACUAAAUUAUUCACAACAACACCUUCAAAUACCUUCAGAGACUAUGUCCUCGAUACAUGAUAUCUGUCAUUGUGUUGGACAUCUGGAUGAAGAUCUUAUUUUUUUCCCUUUUCCUUCACCUCAUGAGUCUGACACUGAAACCUUUAAAAAAUGGUGUUUGUCACAAUAUGAAAAUAAGUAUGUACAGUCAGCAGGUCAUUAUUUCAAAAUAAACCAUAACUGUACUAAUGCA